CGGCAGCAGAGACACAAUUCCUGCCCUCAGAACCAGGGAGUUCGCACUCCCGAAAGGAGGAAAGACUGGAAACUCCGUUCCUGUUACACUGACAGCGAUCUAUUAGUUAAGGAAAUCAAGUUUUUACUCACUACAGGAGGGGAAAGAGAUACUUAAGCUUUUAUGUCAGUUCAUUCUCUAUUAAUGAUAAACAUUGGGAGCCCGGCAGGAAUAGAUCAUCUUGCAUUUAUUGCUGCGAGUAUAUUAAGAACUAACAGCGGCAGAGUGGUGAUUAAACACCAAAUGCCUGUGCCCACCCCGCUGCCAGAGCACUUCAGGGCACACCUGGGCCGGGCAGGAGCACGAACCCACAGCAGGUCCUGCCAGGGACGCGGGGCAGCCCAGGGGAGUCGGGCCCUGCCCCAGAACAUGCAGGACGAUGCCAACAGAAAGCUGGGCACCCUGCAGCUCCUCCCUGAUCCCGGGGGAAGCUCACCGGCAUCCCAGGGGAUCAGCCUCACUGAAAAAGGCAAUCACUUCCUAUUGUAUUCCUGCUACUGGGGCUGCAAUUCAACUCUACCUUUUCCACUCUCCCAUCACUGCAGGGUUUUUUCCUACUGGUUUCUCUUACUGGUUAUUACCUCAACUUCAGGCUCCCACAUUCCAAACAGUUGAUUUAUGCUGUCACAUUCUGUUUGCAUUAUGUUUUCUCUUUCCUCCCUUUUUCAAGGCUAGCAGAUUUAUUAAACACCAGUGCCCUAAUACAUGCCAGCCUUGUUAUCCUUUAGGAAAGCCUCAGGGCAUAUUCGGUCUAUUAACCACCGUGGAGCAAAGCAGGUCAUUUAUAUUACUGUAAAUAAAACACAGAUUACCUUAAUGAGAA